ensembl:lncRNA
GGGAGGAAGGACACAAGUUUAUGUCAAAAAUGUUUAUUAUCCAUGGCUGUACAACAGAGGCAAAGAAAUGAUCCUUGAUAGCCACAUUUUUAACAUGCUGACAGCAAAAAUUGUCUUUCAUUUUUUAAAAUUGUAAACAGAAAGUAAAGAAUUUCAAAUACACGUUGUCAUGUAGAACAAAUUAAAAACAUGAAAUGCAUUCAAUACCAUGUGGCGAGAUUGUGAAUAAAUUACAUACUGUACAUUUGCUCAAAAUGAAUGAAAACAAAAUGCAGAAUUAAUGAGUGUCAAAGAAAAUAUGUUACUGUUACAUUCAUAUUUAGCUCUCUGCCAGCAAUGCAGCUUUUCACAGUUUUCAAUGCACAGAAACAGAAACAAACAUCUGAGGUACAACAAAAGACAAAUUUUCUUCUGGUAGAUCACAUAACUGUAUUUUUAUACACAAUACAGACCACAAUAUAAUAAGCACACAAUAUACUGUAUUGUCUGUAUUUUUCAGAACAGCAAUCAGUCCGAGGGGAAAUGACUGACUGCUGGUUGCGAAGAUCUUGCAGUCGUCUGGAGAAUAUUUAUACCCAGGAUUUUGAUGACGUAUGCAUCAGCAGUGGCAUGUUCUAAUGAGGCAAACAAGCAAAAUACAAGUCUGACACACUCUUCCACUGCUGUCUGUCACUUCCUUUCCUUUAAUGUCAAAUGCACCUCCUUGAUCAAGAAGAUUUUGCUGGUAUCUGUCCUCCCAUCUUCUGUAAUGCAAGCUUCAUUAUUCCCCAACUUGAAAGAAAAAAGAAAGUUAUUAUUUUUUCAUCUCUCACAGCGACCUCAUGUGAAAAAAGGUAGCUGCAGGUUUAAAUUUUCCUGUGAAGCUUGGAAACUCAAGAGGACCAACAUUAAAAUUUUCUAACGCUGCUGUUAUUACCUGCAACCACUCAGAUAUCCACCAGAGGACAAGCAGUUCAUUAAACCAUCAUCUUAACAAUCUAUCAUGUUCAGACCGCCUGAGGAAGGAAAAAAAAAAAAAAAAAAAAAAAAAAAAAAAGGAAAAACUUCCACUCGCAGGCACUUAAGGACAGCAGGGAGGAAAUGUCAGCCAAGAGGCAAAUUAAAUCUCAUAGCUAUUUGUUCUUACAAAGAAAAUCAGGGGAGAUUUAAAUGUCGUUUGACAGGAAAUGCACAUGAGAAAGAGUCUCAUCUCUGCGGCUGUUCAGUCAUCAGCGAUCACUGCAGAGAAGCUGCUUUUCCUUUUGCCCCCAGAUGCAGAGAAUGACCCCACCUUUAGAAGAACAUUUUGGAGGAUUAAACUCCAAGGAUGAGCAAUGUUUCUUACUCUGUUACUCUUUUUAAAGCAGGAAGCGAAAGAUCCUUCGAAUUGCUUUCAACUGCUGGAUGCUAAAAUGUUUCUAUGAUUCUGCUUUUCAUACGUUAUUCCCAAAAAU